rnacentral:rRNA from 1 species
GGUUACAAUUUUUUUUUUUUUAAUUGUGCGCGUCUGAUCUCGGAAGCUAAGCAGGGUAGUGCCUGGUUAGUACUUGGAUGGGAGACGGCCUGGGAAUACCAGGUGCUGUAAGCU